UUCGUUAGUGAGAAGGUAAUC
ensembl:piRNA 21ur-4898 ncRNA